GUCUAUGGCCAUGCCACCCUGAACAAGCCCGAUUCCAUCUGAUCUCGGAAGCUAAGCAGGGUCGGGCCUGGUUAGUACUUGGAUGGGAGACCACCUAGGAAGACAAGGUGCUGUAGGCA
rnacentral:rRNA from 1 species